rnacentral:rRNA from 1 species
AACAGGAUUAGAUACCCUGGUAGUCCACGCUGUAAACGAUGUCGACUUGGAGGUUGUGCCCUUGAGGCGUGGCUUCCGGAGCUAACGCGUUAAGUCGACCGCCUGGGGAGUACGGCCGCAAGGUUAAAACUCAAAUGAAUUGACGGGGGCCCGCACAAGCGGUGGAGCAUGUGGUUUAAUUCGAUGCAACGCGAAGAACCUUACCUACUCUUGACAUCCAGAGAAUUUGCUAGAGAUAGCUUAGUGCCUUCGGGAACUCUGAGACAGGUGCUGCAUGGCUGUCGUCAGCUCGUGUUGUGAAAUGUUGGGUUAAGUCCCGCAACGAGCGCAACCCUUAUCCUUUGUUGCCAGCACGUAAUGGUGGGAACUCAAAGGAGACUGCCGGUGAUAAACCGGAGGAAGGUGGGGAUGACGUCAAGUCAUCAUGGCCCUUACGAGUAGGGCUACACACGUGCUACAAUGGCAUAUACAAAGAGAAGCGAACUCGCGAGAGCAAGCGGACCUCAUAAAGUAUGUCGUAGUCCGGAUUGGAGUCUGCAACUCGACUCCAUGAAGUCGGAAUCGCUAGUAAUCGUAGAUCAGAAUGCUACGGUGAAUACGUUCCCGGGCCUUGUGCACACCGCCCGUCACACCAUGGGAGUGGGUUGCAAAAGAAGUAGGUAGCUUAACCUUCGGGAGGGCGCUUACCACUUUGUGAUUCAUGACUGGGGUGAAGUCGUAACAAGGUAACC